CAGUGACGUCACCGCCAGUUCUGUCCAAUCAGCUGGAAGCUAGAGUCCCUUCAGCGCCAGGACUCAAACCGUUGUACCGUUGGUUCUGACAUCUGGACCGCGGCGGAACCAGCUGCUGGGUCCCGCUCCCCGGAGGUUCGGUCCACUGGUGUCGGGUCGGUUCCGGUUGCUGAGGCGGGCCGAUCGGUGGCGUCGGUUGGACUUUAACGGCUAACGGCAGCAGGACCAGGUCCAGUUGAUCAGAACCAGAUGAGCCCCCGGAACCACUGGACCAGGACCCGAUCCAGACGGGUCAAGAGAUCCUCCAAAGCAUCUUUGCAGAAGCUAGCAUGGAGCGAAGAGGAGGACGACAUGCUGCGGCGCCUGGUGAAGGACUGUGGCCCCAGCAGCUGGUCCACGGUGGCUCUGCACUUCAGGGGUCAAAGGUCAGAGCUACAGUGUCAAAGACGCUGGGAGCAGCUGGUGAACCCGGAGCUGGUCAAAGGGCCGUGGAGUCAGGAGGAGGACCAACGGGUUCUGGAGCUGGUCCAGAAGUACGGCCUGAAGCGCUGGUCGCUCAUCGCCAAACACCAUCACACCCGCAACGGGAAGCAGUGCCGCGAGCGUUGGCACAACCACCUGAACCCGGAGGUGAAGAAGGGCAGCUGGACUGCUGAGGAGGACCGGGUCAUCUGCCAGGCGCACAGAGUGCUGGGGAACCGCUGGGCCGACAUCUCCAAGCUUCUGCCUGGCAGGACGGAUAACUCCAUUAAAAAUCACUGGAACUCCACCUUAAAGAUGAAGGUGGAGAAAGAGAAAUACCUGCACUUUCUGCACCCUCAUGGCUCAAGCUCCACCUCCACACCUGGGACCCGGAACCAUGAGUCCUACAGAGCUCACAUCCAGGCACGCAGUCUGUCCACCAGUAAAGAGCAGUCCAGCGUCUCCUCCAGUCAGAGCACCUGGACACCACAUGGGACCUCCACCAACCUUUGCUCCUUCUGGGCUCCUGCCUCAUGCUCAGGGUGCAGCUCCUCUGAUAACAUGUGCAAGCAGGAAGCCUCCUCAGAUCUGAUGGACAUGAACCUGGAGGAAUGGGUCUGCAGAAACCAGGAAAUGACCUCACGGCAUAAUGACCCCCAGGAGCCCCCCACUGCCUGCCUGCUCACAGUUGACACCAGUUCUCCCAUCGACCUGAGCCGAAGCUACGUUCCUGAUGUGAAAGAACAGCUGGAGACACCUGAUGGAGGUUCCUCCUUCCUGGACUCAUCCUGGGUGACAAGCAGCAUGAUGGAAGCAGCAGUAUACUCUCCAUCAGAGGUCUUUGGUCAGAGUGUGGUUGAUGAGAUGAACCUCCAGUAUCAGGUUCUCACCUCCACUCCCCUCUACUCCCUCAAUCCUAACAUGCUCAGCACAGCACUGUUAGUGGCUCCUCAGACGCCAACGCCACUGAAGCUCCCUGCCUGCAAGGUUGAGGAGGAGGAUUUCUCCAGAAGGAUGAGCCUGGCAGAGGGAGACGACAGGGAUGGUGCUCCUGACAGCCAGCAGUCCAGCAGCAGCUCAGAGGUCCAUGGCGAGAGCCUUCUGAGCAGCAUCCUGCAGACACACAACUCUGGCUGGCAGAUCCAUGGCGGUUCUGGUUCCGGUCAGCAGACGUUCCAGUCGAGCUCAGAGGGUCCUGCUCAGCUCGAUGUGGUUCUCCCCUAUGGUGAGGAUGAGGUGGAGCGCUUCCAGGUGGAUGUGUGGUGGUACCAGCAGCAAGGUCCGGACCAGGGGCCGCCGGAGUGCACUUACAAGACCAGCCCAUGUCAGUUGGCAAUGUUAGGAGGAACCAAGAACCGGGCUGGUCUGACCCAAGAGACCCAGGUCUACGUGGAGCCCUGAUCAGAACCAGGUUUGGACCUGCUGCUUGGCAUAAUGUUGGAUCUUAAAGAGUGAAAUCUUCUCACCUGUUGGCGUCGUACAGGGGGAACCCUGCCUUUGGAGACCAGGACUCCUCCUCCUCCUCAUCGCCCCAGCAACCGACCAGCCAAUCAGAGGAGGCGGUUUCAGCGGCUCGCUCUGCCAUUUUCUUUCUUCAGCAAAAUGUUUUCUUUUUUAAAUGUUUUUAUUAGUUUUCUGAGCCGGAUCAUCAGAUUGGAUCAGAACUUUUCUUUCUUUCUUGGAACGUUGCUGCUCACCCAGUCCAAUCGGACCGUACCGGCCCGCCCCGGGUCGUUGGACCGUACCAAGUGACCAAACCUCAGGGACAUUUCUUUAUUUCAGACAGCACUUUAUUUGGAAGCACUUUGGAUCAGAACCAACCAAUCAGAACCUUAUUGUAAUGUUUGCUUAAUGAUGAUGAUGCUUUGCUUUGAAUGUUGAGUCCAUGAAGCGGUCCACAGCAGAACCUCUUGGAUUCAGCUGGUUUGGACGGAACCGCUCCAGAUGAAGCUCUGUGUGAGUCCAAACCCGUCUGAACCAAAGAGUGGUUCUGCUUUUAUUGGACCAUCCUGGCUCUGUGAGAAUAAAGGACCCAGAUAGAAACACUGGUCGUCUCAGUCUGUCUAACUGAACCAAGGUCCGAUCCAACAGGGACUGAUCUAAGAUCAGCGGUUCUGAUGACUGGUUCUGAUUCAGGCGGGACUCGGACCUCAGGCUGCCUGCUUCCUGGACCCAUUGUGUUCCUUUCGGUCGACCAGAACCCUGAGGGGACGGCGCUGAUACAGACCAUCAGAACUAAACAUCUGGGCCGGUUCUGAGGCGUCUAAUCGGGCUGGAAGGCGCUGUUCUCAGAACUGGAGUCCAGGUGGCGCUGGGGGAGGA